AUUGAACGCUGGCGGCAGGCCUAACACAUGCAAGUCGAACGAGUGGCGGACGGGUGAGUAAUGUCUGGGAAACUGCCUGAUGGAGGGGGAUAACUACUGGAACCGGUAGCUAAUACCGCAUACCAUCGGAUGUGCCCAGAUGGGAUUAGCUAGUAGGUGGGGUAAAGGCUCACCUAGGCGACGAUCCCUAGCGGGUAUGAGAGGAUGACAGGCCACACUGUAACUGAGCCAGGGUCCAGACCCCUACGGGAGGCAGCAGUGGGGAAUAUUGUACAUUGGGCGAAAGCCUGAGGCAGCAUGCCGCGUGUAUGAAGAAGGCCUUCGGGUUGUAAAGUACUUUCAGCGGGGAGGCGUUACCCGCAGAAGAAGCACCGGCUAACUCCGUGCCAGCAGCCGCGGUAAUAC
rnacentral:rRNA from 1 species